UAUUUACUGAUUAGCUGUGAAAAAAGAAGGUUCCCAAGAAAGAUACUUGAGCCCUUAUACACACACCUAAAAAUAUCUGUGAAUCCUACUGGCUGGUAUGGAUGUGGGAGCUGCUAAAUUAGGGACUGGUUUUAUGGGCUCAAGAACUCCAUUCCCUGCAGGAGUGUGUGAACAAUGCAGAGCCCUACACAUGGGCUCUUUGCUCUUCCACCAACAAGGCACAGGGAUACACCAAAGAAUAAGCAAUUCACCACAGAAGGUAUCUUCCAGAAGUAUAUUCCCAGUUUCCUCAAUGGAAAAAUAUAAAACUAAUAAUGAGACUGGUUUCCCUACUUAUUUCAUAUGUACCAGUCAGAAUAAAGAAUCACAACAUGAAAACUUCAGUCUGUACUCGUUUUAAAGUUCUAUUCUAUAAAAAGUAGAUUACAACUUGAUAUUAUAAGAGUCCAGGACAAAGACUUUAAAUUAAACUAAAUCUCAUUAAAAGGAAAGAAACUACAGGCGAUUUAGAUAAUUUGAUAAUUUUGUUACCAGAAUUUUUCAUUAAAAUUUAAUUUUCAUGGAAGAAGGGGUAACA
rnacentral:lncRNA from 1 species